rnacentral:rRNA from 1 species
AGAGCACUCCUACGGGAGGCAGCAGUGGGGAAUAUUGCACAAUGGGCGCAAGCCUGAUGCAGCCAUGCCGCGUGUAUGAAGAAGGCCUUCGGGUUGUAAAGUACUUUCAGCAGUGAGGAAGGUGGAUAUGUUAAUAGCAUACUCAUUUGACGUUAGCUGCAGAAGAAGCACCGGCUAACUCCGUGCCAGCAGCCGCGGUAAUACGGAGGGUGCGAGCGUUAAUCGGAAUUACUGGGCGUAAAGCGCAUGCAGGUGGUUUGUUAAGUCAGAUGUGAAAGCCCGGGGCUCAACCUCGGAAUUGCAUUUGAAACUGGCAAACUAGAGUACUGUAGAGGGGGUAGGAAUUUCAGGUGUAGCGGUGAAAUGCGUAGAGAUCUGAAGGAAUACCGGUGGCGAAGGCGGCCCCCUGGACAGAUACUGACACUCAGAUGCGAAAGCGUGGGGAGCAAACAGGAUUAGAUACCCUGGUAG